rfam:Agrilus planipennis Contig73421, whole genome shotgun sequence.
UCUCUCGUAGCUUAGUGGUCAGAGCAUUGGCGCGUAAAGCCAAGGAGCCCGGGUUCGAUUCCCAGCGGGGGUG